GUCGGAAUCGCUAGUAAUCGUGGAUCAGAAUGCCACGGUGAAUACGUUCCCGGGCCUUGUACACACCGCCCGUCACACCAUGGGAGUGGGCUGCAAAAGAAGUAGGUAGUUUAACCUUCGGGGGGACGCUUACCACUUUGUGGUUCAUGACUGGGGUGAAGUCGUAACAAGGUAGCGCUAGGGGAACCUGGCGCUGGAUCACCUCCUUAUACGAUGAU
rnacentral:rRNA from 1 species